rnacentral:rRNA from 1 species
CGCUAGCGGGAGGCCUAACACAUGCAAGCCGAGCGGUAGAGAUUCUUCGGAAUCUUGAGAGCGGCGCACGGGUGCGGAACACGUGUGCAACCUGCCUUUAUCUGGGGGAUAGCCUUUCGAAAGGAAGAUUAAUACCCCAUAAUAUAUUGAGUGGCAUCACUUGAUAUUGAAAACUCCGGUGGAUAGAGAUGGGCACGCGCAAGAUUAGAUAGUUGGUGAGGUAACGGCUCACCAAGUCAAUGAUCUUUAGGGGGCCUGAGAGGGUGAUCCCCCACACUGGUACUGAGACACGGACCAGACUCCUACGGGAGGCAGCAGUGAGGAAUAUUGGACAAUGGGUGAGAGCCUGAUCCAGCCAUCCCGCGUGAAGGACGACUGCCCUAUGGGUUGUAAACUUCUUUUAUACUGGGAUAAAACCUACCCUCGUGAGGGUAGCUGAAGGUACAGUAUGAAUAAGCACCGGCUAACUCCGUGCCAGCAGCCGCGGUAAU